GCAGGUUAAUUCGAAGAUUUCCUUAGGCAGGCGAGGCUUUGCUCUAAUCGGCAAAGGAAAGGAAAUCACAAUCUCUUCAAGAAGCAAACCUUACCCUCCUCUUGCUCUUCACAUCACACAUAACAUAUCACAAUUCCCAAUUUCUCCCUCCUUUUGCUCUCACAAAUUAAGUCGCGUCCUCCGUUGCUGAAGGAAACGAAAAAAACCCCAAAACCCUAACCCUUGGUUCGCUCCAGCAGCCGUAACAGCAACGAAUGGCUAGCGACACUGAUACUUCUCGUUACAAGCAUCUCCGCUUGCCCUCUGACGAUGAGGCGGAGAAGUUCUCGAAGCGACACAAACGCCGACACCACCGUCGCCAUCACCGUUCUCACCGAAGCAAGACGCGCGGGGAGGAAAGUAAACAUGGUGGUGAUGAAAAUGCUCCUUCUUCUCCUCCGGUGAAUCAUAUUUCUGCUAAUAAUAAUAAGCAUGAUGAUGAGGUUGAGGAGGGUGAGAUUUUGGAGGAAGAGGGUUCUGGUGGUGUCAGUGUAAAGGCCAUCGAAUUACGCC
rnacentral:misc_RNA from 1 species